rnacentral:rRNA from 1 species
UCGGGAAUUUUGGGCAAUGGGCGAAAGCCUGACCCAGCAACGCCGCGUGAGGGAUGAAGUAUUUCGGUAUGUAAACCUCGAAAGAAUGGGAAGAAUAAAUGACGGUACCAUUUAUAAGCUCCGGCUAACUACGUGCCAGCAGCCGCGGUAAUACGUAGGGAGCAAGCGUUGUUCGGAUUUACUGGGCGUAAAGGGCGCGUAGGCGGCGCGGUAAGUCACUUGUGAAAUCUCUGAGCUUAACUCAGAACGGCCAAGUGAUACUGCUGUGCUAGAGUGCGGAAGAGGCAACCGGAAUUCUUGGUGUAGCGGUGAAAUGCGUAGAUAUCAAGAGGAACACCUGAGGCGAAGGCGGGUUGCUGGGCCGACACUGGCGCUGAUGCGCGAAAGCCAGGGGAGCAAACG